rnacentral:rRNA from 1 species
CGGGACGGGUGAGUAACGACGUGGAAAACCUAGCCGUAUACUGGGGGAGUAACACUUAGAAAUAGGUGCUAAUACCGCAUAAGCGCACAGCUUCGCAUGAAGCGGUGUGAAAAACUCUGGUGGUAUACGAUGGUUCCGCGUCUGAUUAGCUAGUUGGUGGGGUAAUGGCCUACCAAGGCAACGAUCAGUAGCCGGCCUGAGAGGGUGAACGGCCACAUUGGGACUGAGACACGGCCCAAACUCCUACGGAAGGCAGCAG